UGAUACACACUGUAUCACAGAAAUCCACAAUACUUUUUGUGUUGAAAGAUAUUGUGAAGUUAGAGCUAAAUUUGUAAUAUUAAACCAUUAAACACAGUAUAUUUUUCUUAGUGCUUUAUUGAAUAUUGGACAAAUAUGAACUUUCCCCACUUAUUGCAGUAUAAGAAUUUCACUAUUUCCUCCUAAGACCGGAUGUUUUAAGGAAAAUGUUUAUAUGCAACAUAAAGAGAAUAAUUUUCUUUAAAAAAUAUCAAAAAAUAAAAUAUGUAGCCUAGUCCUGAUUUUGAGUAAAUUUGAUAUCUUUUUUAUUCAAAAUGGUCUAAGGGAGAUAACUCCUUUCAAGAAACAUUACUUUCUCUUACAUAACAACAGUUGCCAUGUGACUGAAAAACAUCCAAAGUCGUUAUUUUGAUAGAAUUAAACAUAGCUGUACCAUUUUCUAUCUUUUUAUGAAAAUACAGAGUGGUUCCUAUUUAGUUAAAAGGAAUAAAUAGUAUAAAGACUAUAUUUUCUUAAUUCACCCCUGGACUGCAAUGUUUACAAUUACUCAUUUCCUGUUUGCAAAGAUUUUGCAUCUGCUGUGUUUCAUUAGAUAUUACACAGUUUUAUUCCGUUUUUACUGUUACGGGAGUCCAUAUCUUCUUUAAGAAGAUACUGUGCAUGAUGAGGAAAUAUUUUAGACAUUUUUAGACAAAUGCGAGUCCUUUCACAACUUUUCCAGUGCCAGUGGCAUGUCAUGUUGCCUUGUUGAUGUGUAUACCAUGCUACCGAGUCCGAUGCCAGUAAAGACGCUUGAGAAUUCCUGUUGUAGUUUUCAAUUUAUCAGGACUGUAUCAUGAUAAAAGACAUCCCAACGAAGACCAGCUUGUCAGACAAUAAGACAGCAACUCAUACAUUAUAUAGAAGUACCAAGAUUACAUAGACAAUAUCAUUGUCAAUGUCCAUGACUGCAUGAGCAAGCAAUGAAGCAUGACAUAACUUGAUAACUUCUAAGGACAUUUUUGUAUGUGUGGCUUUUCACUUGACUGUGUGGCACAGUGUCCUGUUUAUUGGAAUAAAUCAGAGAAAACAGUGUACAUGGUGUAUGCACCCUCUAUCCACUGUGAAAAGGGAGAGCAAUAACAGGAGUAUCCAGGCAUGACCAAAACAGAAAGAUCCCUAGACCAUGGAGUAAUAGUAUUUCUAACCAGUGUUACCCACAGUGUACCAAGAAAACUAGUACUGAAUAAGGUUUCACACACACACAAUGGUGGUUCAUGUGAGAAGAAGAAGUCAUUUGUUGGAGAAAGUUCUUGCUUGUCUUUAUCUACAAAUGAUGUACAUUUUACAGUACACUGAACAUUGAGGGAUUGAUUGAACGAAGCUUAAGAACACAGAACAAGAAUUAAAAGAAUAAAUUCUUGUAGAUACAAAGCAAACAUUACAAAAAAAAAUAUGAAGCUGAAAUUUAAUUGUCUAAUAUUUGAAUAUGAUAUAUAU